rnacentral:rRNA from 1 species
GUGGCGAACGGGUGAGUAACACGUGGGCAAUCUGCCCUGCACUCUGGGACAAGCCCUGGAAACGGGGUCUAAUACCGGAUACUGAUCCUCGCAGGCAUCUGCGAGGUUCGAAAGCUCCGGCGGUGCAGGAUGAGCCCGCGGCCUAUCAGCUAGUUGGUGAGGUAACGGCUCACCAAGGCGACGACGGGUAGCCGGCCUGAGAGGGCGACCGGCCACACUGGGACUGAGACACGGCCCAGACUCCUACGGGAGGCAGCAGUGGGGAAUAUUGCACAAUGGGCGAAAGCCUGAUGCAGCGACGCCGCGUGAGGGAUGACGGCCUUCGGGUUGUAAACCUCUUUCAGCAGGGAAGAAGCGAAAGUGACGGUACCUGCAGAAGAAGCGCCGGCUAACUACGUGCCAGCAGCCGCGGUAAUACGUAGGGCGCAAGCGUUGUCCGGAAUUAUUGGGCGUAAAGAGCUCGUAGGCGGCUUGUCACGUCGGUUGUGAAAGCCCGGGGCUUAACCCCGGGUCUGCAGUCGAUACGGGCAGGCUAGAGUUCGGUAGGGGAGAUCGGAAUUCCUGGUGUAGCGGUGAAAU